UUUCGCUAUUAGAUGAGCCUGCGUGAGAUUAGCUAGUUGGUGGGGUAAAGGCUCACCAAGGCGACGAUCUCUAGCUGGUCUGAGAGGAUGAUCAGCCACACUGGGACUGAGACACGGCCCAGACUCCUACGGGAGGCAGCAGUGGGGAAUAUUGGACAAUGGGCGGAACCUGAUCCAGCCAUGCCGCGUGUGUGAAGAAGGCCUUAGGGUUGUAAAGCACUUUCAGGAGUGAGGAAGGGUGAUUGGUUAAUACCCAAUUAUUUUGACGUUAACUCCAGAAGAAGCACCGGCUAACUCUGUGCCAGCAGCCGCGGUAAUACAGAGGGUGCGAGCGUUAAUCGGAAUUACUGGGCGUAAAGCGCGCGUAGGUGGUUUGUUAAGUCGGAUGUGAAAUCCCAGGGCUCAACCUUGGAAUUGCACCCGAUACUGGCAGGCUAGAGUACGGUAGAGGGGUGUGGAAUUUCC
rnacentral:rRNA from 1 species